AACCCCCAAUUUUAAAAAGAACAGAAAGCUGUUUGCUUUCUCUCCCUCCCCUAUUUCUCUCCGUCGAUCAUGUUCUCCACCGCCCGCCGUACCACCACCGUACCCGGUGGCCGACGAAGCGCGGAGAUGGGCUUCUUAGCCUCGUUUUGAGGCACAUUCGAAGGCCAUGCCUUCUCAACCCCAAAGAAAUCGAAAGAAAGGUCCCCCCUCUCCCCGGUUCGACUUCGGCGAUUGGAGAAGAGAUCUCCAGCGAUGAGUCUGUGGGAAGAUCAAGGUGAGGUUACCUUUCUCUUUACCUUUUCGUUUAUUUUCGUACAUGAAAAAGAAAAAAGAACUAAAACACAAUAAAAAAAACAAAGAAAUCAAAACCAAGAACUAGAUGAAAGAAACUAUUGUAAAAACCAAAAAUCACCUUAAAAUCUCUUUU
rnacentral:lncRNA from 1 species